AGACAGGCGGCCGCUGGGGAGGGCAGCUGGCCAGGCCCUCCUCGUCCCCAGCAGGGUUGGGGGCUGGCGGGGGCUGAGGGCCAAGCUGGAUUCUAGAUUCUAGCAACUGGGCCCACCGUCCCCGGCAGGCUGGGAGGUGGGGAGGGGGUGCUCCUGGGGCAGGGGCUCCGCCUGGAGCUAGAGCAGGUGGCGUGGUCAGGGACUAGGGCUGGGGCCUAAUUC